GAACAGAAAAGAAAGAUAAAAACAUCUUCAAAUUUUAUUCCAACACAAACACCCAACAACACGAUAACACCAACACAACAUAACAAGUUAACAACAUAAUCUCAAACCAAAAAAACCUAAAAACAUAAACUAAAAGUCUAAAACAAAAAAAACAUUAAUUUUUCCAAAAUAUUAAAAAACAGAUUUUUAUUUUCUAGAGAGAGAAAGAAUAGUAGAGACGUAAACAAAGACUCUUUUAAUUUUCUCAAAUUCAUUUUCAUUUCUUCUUUAUCCAUUUACCAAUUCUAAUCUCUUUUUUCUUUCUCUCUCUAACUUAUUUUCUCUCUCCUCAGAUCUUCUUCACCCGUUACUCCGGCGAUUCCUCUGCAAAUUUUGGGUUCAACCCACUUCCCUAAUCGUCUUUCUUGUUCCAUAUCUUCAUCGUACAUAACAUGUUUAACGUUUUCAUAUCAUAAAGUUUCAUUCUUUUGUUUUUUUAAGGUUUUUGAUUUUUUGUGAUUAGUUUAAUCAUUGUUAUUUAAUUUGUGAUUAUUAGUAGUAUCAAUAUCAAAAUCAUUGUUUAUAUUUUAGAGAAAACGAGAAGAAAAAAAAAGGGUUGUUGAUUGAUUGAAGAAAAAGAAAAUUGUGAAAACAAAAUUCCCCUUUUUUUGUCGUUUGGUGGUUUUUUGUUUUUUAGUGCCUCCAAACAAAAAAUUGGGAAAAAAAAUGAACAAAUUUGAUCUGGGGUUGUUGUGAAUUUUGUGGCUGUGAUUGAAAUUUGGAAACUUUAGGCUUUGAAAAAGAAAAGUUUGAAACUUUAGGGUGUGGAGAAAGAAUUGAAGAUACACGUGUGAACGUGGUUGUUGUCGUUGUUGUUGGUGGUGGAUUGAAAGGGAAGAGAAUUUGGGGGUGUUAUGAUUGAAGGUGAAUUUGAAGAAUCAUUGAUAAUUGGGUUGUGGAUUAGUGGUAAUUUGGUUUCUUUGAUUUAUGGGGAUGAGGAAUGAUGGACACAAACAACAGCUUCUUCAUCACCCAGGUGGUGUUGGAGUUGGAGUUGGUGGUGGUGGUGGAAGAACCAAUGGUUUCAUACCUAGCUCGUUUCGCGCUAUUUCAAGCUACUUGAGGAUUGUUUCCUCGGGUGCUUCCACGGUUGCACGCUCUGCUGCAUCGGUUGCUUCAUCGAUUGUUGAUAGGGAAGAUGUUGCUGAUCAUGAUCAGGUUAUUUGGGCUGGUUUUGAUAAGUUGGAGGGUGAGGGCGAUACCGUUCAACAAGUACUUCUUCUAGGCUAUCGGUCUGGCUUCCAAGUUUGGCAUGUUGAUGAAUCAAAUAAUGUCCGGGACAUGGUUUCCAAACACGACGGUCCCGUUUCUUUUAUGCAAAUGGUUCCAAAUCCAAUUGCAUCAAAAAAAUCAGAAGACAAAUUUGCAAGCAGCCGCCCGUUGUUGGUCGUUUGUGCUGCCGAUGGACUCUUCGGAGGAGGAAGCAAUACUAAGGAUGGAUUGACUGGUCCUCUCAAUGGAACUUCAAACUCUCAUGAUCAAAUGAAUGGCAACUAUAUGCCAACUAGUGUUCAGUUUUAUUCUAUGAAAUCCCAUUCAUAUGUUCAUGUAAUGAAGUUUAGAUCCGUUGUUUAUUCCGUAAGGUGCAGUUCUCGAAUAGUUGCCGUUUCUCAAUCCACUCAGAUACAUUGUUUCAAUGCUACCACAUUAGAAAGGGAAUAUACUUUACUUACUAAUCCAAUAGUGAUGACUUGUCCUGGUUCCGGAGGCAUAGGAUACGGACCGCUUGCGGUGGGUCCAAGAUGGCUGGCUUAUAGUGGAAGUCCAGUUGCAAUCUCCACUUCCAGCCAUGUCAGCCCGCAGCACUUGACACCUUCUGCAAGCUUUCCUGGUUUUUCUUCAAAUGGAAGCAUGAUUGCGCACUAUGCCAAAGAAUCAAGCAAGCAUCUUGCUACUGGGAUUGUUACCCUUGGAGAUAUGGGAUAUAAAAAACUUUCUAGAUACUGUUCUGAAAACAAUGGUUCACUACAAUCUGUAAAUUCUGGAUCAAAGGUCAAUGGAAACAUUAACGGCCAUUCGGCUGAUUUAGAUAACAUUGGAAUGGUCAUUGUUAAAGAUAUUGUCACUAAAAACGUUGUUGCCCAAUUCCGAGCACAGAAAAGUCCAAUUUCAGCUUUAUGCUUUGAUCCUAGUGGCACCUUAUUAGUGACCGCUUCUGUUCAGGGUCAUAACAUAAAUGUUUUUAAGAUAAUGCCUAUGCGUGAGAAUUCGUUAGCAUCUGAUGCCGGUCCUUCCCACGUUCAUUUAUACAGGCUGCAACGCGGUUUUACAAAUGCGGUUAUACAAGAUAUUAGUUUUAGUGCUGACAGCAAGUGGAUUAUGAUUAGUUCCUCGAGGGGCACUAGUCAUCUAUUUGCAAUAAAUCCUCAAGGAGGAUAUGUAAAUAUUCAGUCGAAUGAUGAUACAAAAAAUAGUGGAUUAAGCACUACGACUAAUCAAGUAGUUCGCCGGGAUCCUAUGGCAGCUGUACAAAUGCCUAAACAGCAGAGCCUGUAUGUAGCCGGCCCUCCAAUUACACUUUCUGUAGUAAGCAGAAUUAGGAAUGGAACUAACGGUUGGAGAGGUACGGUAAGUGGUGCUGCUGCAGCUGCAGCCGGUAGGAAGAGUUCCCUUUCUGGGGCUAUUGCUUCGUCUUUCCGUAAUUGUAAAGGAAAUGGAUUGCUAUAUCGUGAAGGGAACAAUUCCAAGGCAAAUCAUCACUUGUUAGUCUUUUCACCUAGUGGAUCGAUGAUUCAAUACGCUCUUCGGACAAUAAAUGGUCAAGAUUCGGCUGUUGUUUCUGGAUUAUCUCCUGCUUAUGAAUCCAAUCCACAGGCCGAUGCAAGAUUAGUAGUUGAGGCCAUGCAUAAAUGGAAUAUAUGUCAUAGUCAUAGUCGCAGAGAGCGAGAAGAUAAUGUUGACAUAUAUGGCGAAAAUGGAAUUUCAGACAGCAGCAAAAUAUAUCCGGAGGAAGUAGAGGAGAACAUCAUUAAUCCUAAAAUAAACAAUGGUGUAAUAAAAGCGAAUCCCUCUCUCAAGGAACAGCAUCAUUUGUAUAUUUCAGAAGCUGAACUACAAAUGCAUCAAACUCAGAUUCCAUUGUGGGCAAAGCCAGAGAUAUAUUUUAAUUCAAUGUUGAAAGAGUCGACCAUAAUGGAUGAAGAAGAUGCUUCAGGAGAAUUUGAGAUUGAAAGAAUUCCCACUAGCAUGAUUGAAGCUAGACCAAAAGACUUGGUUCCAAUUUUCAAUUAUAUGCAGACUCCAAAAUUUCAACAAACAAGGGCUCCUGCUAUGGAUAAAAAGAUAAAUGGACAAGUGUUGCACCACGGUUCUGAGCCGUAUGGAAAUGGAAGGAUAUCACCUAGGAGUAUUUCGGGAUCUCUCGAGGGCAUGAAUAAUUCUGAUGGUGAAGUUAAUGAACAUAAAAGUCAAAUAGAAGGAACUGAAUGGGAUAAUCAUGUGAUGCCAUCAGAAACUAUUGGCUUUGUAAAUAACAAUGACACCCUUAAACCAAAUACUCAGCAGCAUGAGAUUGUAAAUAAUAGAAGAGAGCACUUAAGCAUGGGGGCUCGUCUCAUGCAUGUAAAUAGCGACAAAAGGCCUGAAGAUGAGCAUCAUUUUGAAGAAGAAAAUGAAGAUGAAUCUGAUUGAAGGUAAUCUAUCCAUUAACAUUUUGAAGAAAAUGAAGAUGUAUCUGAUUGAAGAUUUCUGCACAAGACAAACAAAGACCGGUAAAAGAGGAUUUAGUUACUUGUGUUUGAUUUUUUGGGGUCCUUUUUGAUUCAGGCAUGGAAAUAUUCUUUGAUUUGGCAUUGGAGGCUUAAUUAACAAUGUUUAUAUAAUGGUGGAAGAGGUAGAGAAGCUUGAGGAGUAGUGGAUAUUGACUACUAUGGAAAGUUGUGGAUACUGCUUUCAGUUUCUUUUUCUGUGUGACAUUGUAAAUGACAGACAGAAUUUGUAUAUCAAUAAUUAGUUUUCAAUUUGUAAAUAAUAGAAUCAUUACUUUGUCUC